rnacentral:lncRNA from 1 species
CCCCAAAGCUAUCAGUUCUGGAAAUCUACCAGUAAACGGGUGUUUUCAAUGACUGUCCCGCCACUAAAGCUUUUGCUGGCUGUUUUUGAAUAUCUUGUAUGGAGGACUAAGAAGAAGAAGAGAGGAGACAUUUCCUAUUUGGUCAACAUUUUAAACCCUGGAUAAUCACAAUGAGCGCUACAGCCUCCACACCACCCUGCAAGACAAAGGAGAGGUGUUUACCUGAAGUGCUUCCCCACUCCCCCACAACCCCCUCCCAACUCUAGGGGGAGGCACUGGAUUUGCCCCCAACCUUUUAUUUUCUAUUAGAUACCUCCAGGUGACUCCUCAUUCAACAUGCAGAUGGCAUGUUGAGCUGGGACACCUAACACUGUAAUAAUCUAACUCUAUU